rnacentral:rRNA from 1 species
CAGCCGCCGCGGUAAUACCGGCGGCCCGAGUGGCGGUCACUAUUAUUGGGCUUAAAGCGUCCGUAGCCGGGUUGGGAAGUCCUCCGGGAAAUCUGGCCGCUUAACGGUCAGAAUGCCGGAGGAUACUCCCAGCCUAGGGAGCGGGAGAGGCCGAGGGGAUUCCCGGGGUAGGGGGGAAAUCCUAUAAUCCCGGGAGGACCACCUGUGGCGAAAGCGCUCGGCUGGAACGCGCCCGACGGUGAGGGGCGAAAGCCGGGGGAGCGAACCGGAUUAGAUACCCGGGUAGUCCCGGCUGUAAACGAUGCGGGCUAGCUGUUGGGUGGGCUUAGAGCCCACCCAGUGGCGCAGGGAAGCCGUUAAGCCCGCCGCCUGGGGAGUACGGCCGCAAGGCUGAAACUUAAAGGAAUUGGCGGG